rnacentral:tRNA from 1 species
AAAGAAUUAGUUAAAAUAUAACGCAGGUUUGUCAAGCCUAUGUUGCCUUGUGGUAUUCUUUU